CGGUGACGGACCUGUAACCUGGAUUGUCAGGCGCCAUUUUAAAGCCAACGAAGAAGAAGACGAAGCAACAUGGCGGCCGUUGGACGCUGCUGCUAACAGGAGGGAGCUGUGAGUGUUGGCAGAAAGACUCAACAUGGCGAAACCGGUGUCUGUGCUUCGCCUGCCUAAAGGACCCGACCCCAACAGCAGAGGGUUCGACCCCAAGUCGCCCCGCUUCAUCGCUCUCUGCCGUACAUCCAUUUCUUCUUCAGUGGCGUCAGAGGCAGACCCUGAGCUGCUGCAGAGAGAGCAGCAUGCGCGAUCUGUGCUGAGAGAGAAUUUCCUGCAGUGUCUAGUCUCCAUGACCAACAGGAAGGUUCAGUUUCACAUGCACGAAAAGGUGAAGGUGGAGGCCACGUUUGGAGCGUCGGACAUUGACGUGCUGAACUUUCAGGUGUCAGACCUGCAUACUCCCAUCGGUGUGCAAAAAGAAGCACUGAUCAGGAGUCAGGAUGUGAUUUCAGUCACUUUUGAUGUGUGAACACUUUGGGAUAUUUACACAGAAAAUGACAUUUGGCCACUUGGGAGUCCUGUUUGUUGGUGAAAGUGAACUCUGCUUGCACACUUUGAGCUUCAGAUGUUUUGUUUAUGAAUGAUGUUUCCGUUGGGAGAACCAUGACAGUAGCCACAACCAAGGUAAAGUUGACCUUUUUCACAAAUUUCAAAACAAGUAAAUACAUGUAAUGUCCGUUUACGCUUGCGCCCUCAUGCUGGAGAUACAGUGCUGAUCAUUAGUCAGCGUCAUCUAUCUUCGUUGUGAGCCAGUGCCGAUAUUUCAUUUCAAAGCCUUUAUCGGCUUAUAACGAUGAUGUGCGGAACUGACCGUGCACCCCAAGCAACAACGUUUGAUAGUUAUUUAAAUCAUUACUCAAGUGAAACUGACACACUUUUGAGGGUCUCAGGUUUGUGAGGAUUUGCUGCUCAUUCUCACCAUGUGUGUACCAAACUGCAGACAAAAAGAAAUGAAAGUGGGGAAAAAAAAUGUCGUCAGCAAGUUUCACUGUUCUCUAGUUUUUUACUGACUAAUUAUGGAGCCGUUCAGUCAGGAAACUAUCUGCAGCUUAAAUUAUGUAAAUAGUCACUAGCUGCAGCCUCAUUUACAAUAAUAACAUUAAAUAAUAAUUUUAAUUUUAUUUAGCGCCUUUUGAAAAUAGAGUUACAAAGUGCUUCAAAUGUCAGAUUAGACAAUGAUGAUAAAGUCAUGUAUUUAAGAUUACAUAAUAGCCAUUGUAAACAAGAUAAAAUCAUUACGUCAUCAUUUUUUUAGGUUGCACAUUAAGACAACAGCUGUUGUAUCGGAAGUGCUUUCCAGUAAAAAAAAAUGAUAAUAAUGAUUGGUGUUAUGAAAAUAACCUGACAAGUGUAAAAUAUUGGCAUUAAGACAGAAUAGUGUUAUUUAUGGUGCGAAUUUUACCAGCGUUAUUUACAUAUUAGGGGUUAAAACUCAUAGAAAAAUCAUAGAAAAUACUACUGUACCUGACUGUAAUGCAUACUAAGGCUGAGAUCCUACACGGUUAUUAACGAUGGAGAGUAACCUGAGUAAUGUAUUAAUAUAGCUGAGACGCUGUGGUAUUAUAAAUGUAGCCAAUACAGCCAACUGUUUUUGAUAAAUGAUCAGUUUGUAAUUUUAAAAAAACAACAUUUCUGUGAUUCCAGCCUUAAAAGUGAAAUAUUUUCUGGUUUCCUUCCUUCUCUGUGACAAUAAAAUAAAUAUCUUUGAUGUUUGGUCAAAUCAAAACAAUCAAAGGCAUCAUCCUGGGCUUUGGGAAACACUGAUUGACAUUUUUCUAUCAAAAAUCAAGAAAAUAAUCAACAAUGACAUUGACUGAUAGCUGCAACCCUGUUGUUGCUGGUGUUUUCCUUCAUUGUUCUAAUGUGUGAAUGAGAGGCAUAGAGCAGAAUGAAAACACCUCCAGAUACUUGGAGGUUGCAGCCGUGAUGCAUUGAUAUGGAGGCUGGUUUUCAGUUACUGUUGCAGGUUUCUGUACUGUAGCUGACUGUGACCUCUGAUCUGCCUGCUAUUGGACAGGGGCUAAAAUCAAAGUUUGUUGAUGUGGUUAUUAAAAUAAAACUGGGAGCUGUGCCCAAUUUACA